UUUCCAACCUCUUUCUAACAUUCUUUUAUGUUGCAAUAUUUUUGAAGAUAUAAUUUAAAUUUUUUCCAAUCUUCUUCCAUCGACCCUUCUCCCUGGUCUCGAAUUCUGCCGGUCAUCUCAGCCAGUUCCAUAUAGUCCAUCACUUUCAUCUGCCAUUCUUCUCGGGUAGGCAAUUCUUGUGUCUUCCAGUAUUUCCCAAUAAGUAUUCUCGCUGCUGCUGUCGCAUACAUAAAAAAAGUUCUAUCUUCCCUUCGCACCAAUUGGCCAACCAUACCCAAGAGGAAGGCCUCUGGUUUCUUUAGAAAAGUAUAUUUCA
rnacentral:lncRNA from 1 species